GUACUGAUGAAGAGUCCCAGAAUAGGGCGAAACACCUGGUUUUCUAGUAC
rnacentral:hammerhead_ribozyme from 1 species